CCUACGGGUGGCAGCAGUGAGGAAUAUUGGUCAAUGGGCGGGAGCCUGAACCAGCCAAGUCGCGUGAGGGAAGACGGUCCUAUGGAUUGUACACCUCUUUAGGCGGGGAGCAAUGCCGGGCACGCGUGCCCGGAGGGAGAGUACCCGCAGAAUAAGCAUCGGCUAACUCCGUGCCAGCAGCCGCGGAAAUACGGGGGAUGCGAGCGUUAUCCGGAUUUUUGGGGUUUAAAGGGUGCGUAGGCGGAUUUUUAAGUCAGCGGUAAAAUGUCCGGGCUCAACCCGGGCCGGCCGUUGAAACUGGGGGUCGUGAGGGGGCGAGAAGUAGGCGGAAUGCGGGGUGUAGCGGUGAAAUGCUUAGAUAGAACGCAGAACUCCGAUUGCGAAGGCAGCAUACCGGCGCCCGACUGACGCUGAGGCACGAAAGCGUGGGGAUCGAACAGGAUGAGAUACCCUUGUAGUC
rnacentral:rRNA from 1 species